rnacentral:misc_RNA from 1 species
UCCUCUCUUUGCUUCUGCUGAUGCUCUUCUUUCCUCUGCUUUUCUAUGUGCUUUUGCUACUUCAUUCUCCAUCUUUUCUAAUGCUUUUGCUCUCUUCUCUUCCAACUUUCUCUCGAUCUUCUUCAUCCAUGAAGAUGCCUUCUGAACUUGCUCCCUUUCCCAUCCACUAAUGACUGCAUCUUCUCUCUUGAACCGAUUGUUAAUCUUCGCAAUCUUCGCGUUCUGCCAUGCGCUAAUCUUCGUUUCCACCUCCUCUUUCUUCACCAUCUGCAACGAAAUCUCUCUAUUCACCGCCGCGCCUCCGCCGUUCUCCUGUCUGGAGAUCGCCGACGACGGCGCUAAGUGAUCAUCGAACGGAUGACCGUCCGGUACGAUCGCUAACGGAUUCGUCUCCACCUCUGGCAUAGUAUUAUCCUCUUCCUCUCCGAUCCGGCUCAAGUUAUUCGGAGCUUCGUUAAUCGAUCGAUCAUGACGAAAACCGUCGCCGAUCUCCGCACCAGCAAUAACCAGAGCAUUAAACUCUCGACUCAUGGAAGUGAAAUUCUCGCUGGAGCUACUACCUUCGCUAGCAAUUGAAGUCGAUCUCUGGCUCGCCGUUUCCCAAGCCUCUCCGCGGCGGUUCCGAUUAACCGUCACCAGCGGUGGUUGCGGCGAGGUCAGAGCGUGGAUAUCGCGGAUUUGAUCGUCGUCGUCUCCGGCAUGGGUGGCGGUGGAAGUUCCUGGUGGUGGUUGAUCGUUGAACAUGGCGGAAUUUGAAGAAAUGUAAUUUGUAAGAGAGUGUUUGAAUG